rnacentral:rRNA from 1 species
UACGUAGGGUCCAAGCGUUGUUCGGAUUCACUGGGCGUAAAGGGUGCGUAGGCGGUCGGGUAAGUCUGAUGUGAAAUCUCACAGCUUAACUGUGAAACUGCAUUGGAUACUAUCCGGCUCGAGGAAUGGAGGGGAGACUGGAAUACUUGGUGUAGCAGUGAAAUGCGUAGAUAUCAAGUGGAACACCAGUGGCGAAGGCGGCUUCCUGGUCCGACACCGACGUUCAGGCACGAAAGCGUGGGGAGCAAACAGG